CAGUAGCCGCGGGAAUACGAAGGGUGCAAGCGUUACUCGGAAUUACUGGGCGUAAAGCGUGCGUAGGUGGUUGUUUAAGUCUGCUGUGAAAGCCCUGGGCUCAACCUGGGAAUUGCAGUGGAUACUGGACGACUAGAGUAAGGUAGAGGAUAGUGGAAUUUCCGGUGUAGCAGUGAAAUGCGUAGAGAUCGGAAGGAACAUCUGUGGCGAAGGCGACUAUCUUGGCCAUUACUGACACUGAGGCACGAAAGCGUGGGGAGCAAACAGGAUUAGAUACCCCCGUAGUCCCUGUCUCUUAUAC
rnacentral:rRNA from 1 species